rnacentral:misc_RNA from 1 species
GAUGAAGAACGCAGCGAAAUGCGAUAAGUAGUGUGAAUUGCAGAAUUCAGUGAAUCAUCGAAUCUUUGAACGCACAUUGCGCCCCUUGGUAUUCCAUGGGGCAUGCCUGUUCGAGCGUCAUUUGUACCUUCAAGCUCUGCUUGGUGUUGGGUGUUUGUCUCGCCUCUGCGUGUAGACUCGCCUCAAAAUAAUUGGCAGCCGGCGUAUUGAUUUCGGAGCGCAGUACAUCUCGCGCUUUGCACUCAUAACGACGACGUCCAAAAGUACAUUUUUACACUCUUGACCUCGGAUCAGGUAGGGAUACCCGCUGAACUUAAGCAUAUCAUAAGCGGAGGA